rnacentral:piRNA from 1 species
UGAGUGGCCUCUCUUCCGGUAUUAGUGGGU